GACUAAUCACCAUGGCUACAUAGUUGCUGAAUUCUGAUUGGCUAUCCUGGAUCAUGUGACUACCCUUGGACCAUUCACCAUGGCCAGCCCUGGACGAAUCACUGUGGCCAUGUAAUUGGUGAAUUCUCAUUGGCUAUCCUGGAACAUGUGACUACCCUUGGACCAAUCACCAUGGCAAGAUAGAGACAGUGUGAGCAGGGGAGAGGCAGAGAGAGAGAGGAAGACACAUUAUCCGAAGCAGGCUCCAGGCUCCAAGCUGUCAGCACAGAGCCUGAUGUGGGGAUCGAACCCACGAACUGUGAGAUCAUGACCUGAGCCGAAGUCGGGCUCUCAACCAACUGAGCCACCCAGGUGC